rnacentral:rRNA from 1 species
UACGUAGGUGGCAAGCGUUGUCCGGAAUCACUGGGCAUAAAGCGCGCGCAGGCGGCGAUCUACGUCUGGGGUGAAAGCCCGGAGCUCAACUCCGGGACUGCCUUGGAUACGGCAUCGCUUGAGGAUUGGAGAGGCAAGGGGAAUUCCACGUGUAGCGGUGAAAUGCGUAGAGAUGUGGAGGAACACCUGUGGCGAAGGCGCCUUGCUGGCCAAUUACUGACGCUGAGGCGCGAAAGCGUGGGGAGCAAACAGG